AUACAAUUAAAUCCUCUUUCUCUUUCGUGUCGUUGCUCCUCCACGUUGUUGCUCCUCUGCUUGGCUUCAAUCAGAAACGAUAAUGGAGUCAUGGACUGAUGUGAAUGUAGAGUGAAACAGAAAUCAAAGAGGAAGAAGAUGAAGGCGUUAAUGCGGACUGAAGAGAAGAAGAACCGUGUUGGGACCCUCACGAUCGGACCUUCAAUCAAGGUUUGGGAGCCUUACAACGUCUUCGAUUCACCUAUGUUUCUCUUCGCCUCUGGAUCAAGCUAGAUCUAUGGCUGUUUCUCAUUAGUUUUGUGUAUUUUAGUAUAUAUAUUAUUAUAUGACGGGGAAACACAAGAAUCAAGCAUAGUCCAUUGGUUUAUGUGCUCCUGUAACAGCUUAACAUUCCGAGUUCGAAUCCAUGAUGGAGCAACAUUUUUUUCCUUGUGUCUUUAGUUAAUGUAAAAUGACGUAAACGUCCUCA